AUACAGAGGGUGCGAGCGUUAAUCGGAAUUACUGGGUGUAAAGCGCGCGUAGGCGGUCUAUUAAGUCAGAUGUGAAAUCCCAGGGCUCAACCUUGGAACUGCAUCUGAUACUGGUAGACUAGAGUUUUGGAGAGGGAAGUAGAAUUUCAGGUGUAGCGGUGAAAUGCAUAGAGAUCUGAAGGAAUACCAGUGGCGAAGGCGACUUCCUGGCCAAAAACUGACGCUGAGGUGCGAAAGCGUGGGUAGCAAACGGGAUUAGAAACCCUAGUAGUCC
rnacentral:rRNA from 1 species